CCCAGACGGUCACACUACAGUCACGAAUCCCUGUGAGCCCUUUGUCCUGCUGUGUUUUAUUUUUGGCAAGGGUUGGGGGCCUGAACCUUGAAGAAGCUGCAUUUUAUUCAUAUUUGGGUCAAUACAGUAGUCAAGUAGGCACCUGAGAACAGACGAUACUGGAGUAUACAGGCCCUGGAGGUUUCACAGAAAUCGUGGGGUGCACCUUGGCAAUCCACUAGGCAUGGGCUUGAGCUGGAGUCUACAGGCGCAGAGAAACACCAGCCGACAUCUGGUGGCAUAUCAAAAACAAUUCCUCAUGCCUGUAACAUCUGACUUAAUAGCUGAAGUGGACACCAAGUUGUCUCUGUUUGCUUGGAGAUCUCGUUUUGUAUGCUUGUCUCCGCCUAGAUGGUCGAAGACGUUGCACGGUGAGGAGCCUGGGGAGCCUAGACCAGCUGCAGGUCAGACCAAGCAGGAAAGUACUGAGUCCAGAAAACUGUGAAUGGGGACCGACUUGGGGGCCCAAUCAGGGCGGCAGCAUCGACCACAGAAGUAGGGACCAUCAGGGUGGAGAACAGGUGGAGGGCUUGAUGUGCAAGGACACAGUGCGGCUGGAGGCCGUGGGAGGGCUGCUGCCAUCAUGGGGAUGGAGGACAUCUCCAGAAGCACAGAGGCUUCUUCUUGUCUCAGGAGAGCAUUGUAGCCAUGUGCAGCUUGUUGAUGGAGAGACCUGGGUUCUCCACUGGCAAUCAUAUCCUGGGAUGUUUGAUACAGGUCUUGAAGGGCCUAGUUCAUCAGCUGGAAUCUGGCUCUUUUGGAGGGGGACAGAGGCCAGGUACUUUUGGUGAUGGUGCUUUCUAAGUUUUGCACGUCUAAGUCAAAACAUGGGAAUAAUCAUGGACUCUUUGGAUCUGCUUGAAUACCUCCAGUGAUGGGCAGUUCUCUGUCCUGAGGUUUCCCUCUGGAAAGAGUGAUAACUGGAUUUCUGGGAAGCUCUUUCUCUUGCUCCAUAAUUGAGGUCCCACCCAUGAUUCCAUGAGAUCAUGUCCCCGGGCUCCGGACAAUAAUGACACCACGAGGCCUGGACUGCUCCAUGGUCAGUGGUGAGGCUUGAGGACAAGAGGGACAAUCUGGUUGACCUUAUGAACAAUCAUCUUGGGCUGGCCCUUUUACUCAAGGGUCAACCUAAAUUUGCCUUCUUCUGGGACCCCUCUGAAUUCGCAUUCUCUCAGCCUCACGGCUGAUGAGUAGUUGUUAAAAGCUAGCCACGCCACAGCUGACCACAGACACCUGAAGGAUCCCAGCCGAGACCAAGAGAACAACCCAGAAGAGCAUCUGAGCCCAGCCCCAAUGCCAACGCACAGGAUCAGAGACUAAAUAAAUGGUUUUUGUUUUA